GUCGGCGGUCUGACGCUGGCGUACGCGCUUCGUAUCGCUUAGUCUCAACGCUCUCUAGUAACAAAGGUAUCAAUUCCAUUCAUCUCUUAAGUCGGUCCCCUAGUUCCGAUCUUUCAAAAAGUUUGCAAACUUUGAAGUUAAUUUUUAACUCACACUACCCGAAGUCGGUCCCAAGAUAGUUACAACUGUGCCAGUACCCGUAGUUCCUUAGAAGAACGAAGAUAUUCAGACAACAACUAAUGUAACAACAAAAAUAUAGCGCGCUUACAAGGAUCAAGUGAAAAGUACUUAAGAUGGCGAGAGAAGAGUCGUGUCUGCCGCGGACCGCCGCGCUGGCGGCCGCGAUUCUCAUCCUGCUAAGUGCGUCAGGCGAGUGCCUCCAGUGCUACUGGUGCGGGCCGCUGGCGGAGCAGGUGCACCGGCG